UUUCCGUCCAAAUUUAUGCAUUAAAAAAAGAAGACAAUCAAAAGAAAAUCUUCCACUGCCGCACUCUGACUUCUUUUUUCAUGUAAUUUUCAUCGCGUAAGAUGAGUUACAAAAUCACGAAAGACAAUCACGCAAUAUUAUAACGUUCCAAUAAUAAACGAACGCAAUGGAUGUCCCUCUGUAUGUCACGUUGCGACCAAAGAAGAGAAAGAGUUAAAAAAAAUCGAGAGACGCCUUCCUAUCACAUUCCCGCGACGUGUCGCAUGCAGGCAAAAAAAAGAAGAGGAUUUAGAGACUUAUUCCUUUAAAAAAAAGCGCCCUUUCAUCCGCCGAGCAGUUAGUGUGUCACUAUUCAGCGGGCCUGUGCCCACGUGCGCACACAAACAGGAGCUCAGUGAAGAAGAGGAGGAGGAGGAUGAAGAUGUUCACAUGGCAAGCCGAGCUGCAAGGUAAAACAAUUUGGUCUCAUCAUUUGCAGUUGCAAACGUGGUAUUUUUCGCUUUUAAAGUAUGCGCCGUUUUUUUGCUUGAGGAAUUGCAAAAACACUGGCGCUCUGCGUGUGGUUUGCGUUGCUUUAUGCUAAGUGGAACACACACACACACACACACACGCACAUAUACGUAAGAUUUUUGAAUAUUGAUGAUUGGAAAGCUUUGAACACACGUCGGAGGCUUUUCAAGGUCUCGGCGUGCAAGCAAGCACCAAAGUGUCAUCAAGUGCUCGCUAUCCCCGGAGAUUUUUGCAGCCGAAGAACCCCCCCCCCAAAAAAGUUGGAUUUCUUUCAGCCGUCAACGCUCACCUGAGCAGAGGGAUUUGUUAUUUCUUCUCGGGGACGCAGCGGCAGCACAGGAGUUCGCCGACAAACAAACGGAUGCAAUUAAAUUCACUGUCAUCUCUCAUCAUCAUGGAGGAGGCAAGAAGGGAGGAAUAGGAGGGGGGGGGGGGGCACACAAGGCCAAGUCAAGGUUGACUCAAGAAGAAGAGGUCCACUCGCAAAGACAGAAAGUGAACUCUCACUUGACAGUCUUCCUCAAUGCAUGAAUUGAGGUGUGACAGGAUGAACCCAAUCCCUGUACAAGACAACAAGUAAUAUCUCUUUGAUUCACAGUAUGCAGAUACUUCAACAUGUUUGGACAUUUGGGUGACAUUUAAAUUUCAUUGUGAUAAAAUGUUGUUCCAAGACACAAACUUUCAUUGAACAUGGGCUAAAUUCCACUCAAAUACAGCACUAGAUUACUGGUAUUUAGAUUUUAAUGUUUUAUAUUUUAUGUUUGAUCUUUAUGAUAUAGGGCAUAUCGAUAUUUGCUUUAUUAAAGUGCUAUGUGAAUAAAUAAAGUGAGUAUAUAAUUAGUCAAUCAAUAAUGAGUCAAGUUGAGUUUUUUCAUAGAACACUCAAAAAUCGAUUCGCUAGCGGAGCAUAUACUUCAUAUUCAAUGAAUAGGAUGAAUAA